UACGUAGGUGGCAAGCGUUGUCCGGAUUUACUGGGCGUAAAGAGCGCGCAGGCGGUCGUUCAAGUCGCGUGUGAAAGCCCCCGGCUCAACUGGGGAGGGUCACGCGAUACUGAUCGACUCGAAGGCAGGAGAGGGUAGUGGAAUUCCCGGUGUAGUGGUGAAAUGCGUAGAUAUCAUCAGGAACACCGGUGGCGAAAGCGGCUUACUGGGUCUCUUCUGACGCUGAGGUACGAAAGCUAGGGGAGCGAACGGG
rnacentral:rRNA from 1 species